ACGCUGGCGGCGUGCUUAACACAUGCAAGUCGAACGAUGAACCAGGGCUUGCCCUGGGGAUUAGUGGCAACGGGUGAGUAACACGUGGGCAACCUUGCCCCAGACACCGGGAUAACCUCUCGAAAGAGUGGCUAAUACCGGAUAUGACCACUUCGGGCAUCCGACGGUGGUGGAAAGGAUUCUGGUCUGGGAUUGGGCCCGCGGCCUAUCAGCUAGUUGGUGGGGUAAUGGCCUACCAAGGCGACGACGGGUAGCCGGCCUGAGAGGGCGACCGGCCACACUGGGACUGAGACACGGCCCAGACUCCUACGGGAGGCAGCGGUGGGGAAUAUUGCGCAAUGGGCGAAAGCCUGACGCAGCGGCGCCGCGUGAGGGACGAAGGUCUUCGGAUUGUAAACCUCUUCAGCAGGGACGAAGCGAAAGUGACUGUACCUGCAGAAGAAGCACCGGCUAACUACGUG
rnacentral:rRNA from 1 species